UACGAAGGGUGCAAGCGUUACUCGGAAUUACUGGGCGUAAAGCGUGCGUAGGUGGUUUGUUAAGUCUGUUGUGAAAGCCCCGGGCUCAACCUGGGAAUGGCAAUGGAUACUGGCAAGCUAGAGUGCGGUAGAGGGUAGUGGAAUUCCCGGUGUAGCGGUGAAAUGCGUAGAGAUCGGGAGGAACACCAGUGGCGAAGGCGGAUCUCUGGACAGUUACUGACACUGAGGCACGAAGGCCAGGGGAGCAAACGGG
rnacentral:rRNA from 1 species